UAAUUUAAAUAAGACUGUGGUUUUGUUUGA
rnacentral:piRNA from 1 species